GACGAACGCUGGCGGCGCGCCUAACACAUGCGAGUCGAACGAGCGAGAGAGAGCUUGCUUUCUCUAGCGAGUGGCGAACGGGUGAGUAACGCGUGAGGAACCUGCCUCAAAGAGGGGGACAACAGUUGGAAACGACUGCUAAUACCGCAUAAGCCCCCGGCUCGGCAUCGAGCAGGGGGAAAAGGAGCAAUCCGCUUUGAGAUGGCCUCGCGUCCGAUUCGCUAGUUGGUGGGGUAACGGCCCACCAAGGCGACGAUCGGUAGACGGACUGAGAGGUUGAACGGCCACAUUGGGACUGAGACACGGCCCAGACUCCUGCGGGAGGCAGCAGUGGGGAAUAUUGCACAAUGGGGGAAACCCUGAUGCAGCGACGCCGCGUGGAGGAAGAAGGUCUUCGGAUUGUAAACUCCUGUUGUUGGGGAAGAUAAUGACGGUACCCAACAAGGAAGUGACGGCUAACUACGUG
rnacentral:rRNA from 1 species